rnacentral:rRNA from 1 species
GACGAACGCUGGCGGCGUGCUUAACACAUGCAAGUCGAACGGAAAGGCGCUGCUUUUGCGGGGCUCUCGAGUGGCGAACGGGUGUGUAACACGUGAGUAUCCCGCCCCUGACUGUGGGAUAACUUCAGGAAACUGGGGCUAAUACCGGAUAGGAGCUCCUGCUGCAUGGGGGGCGUUGGAAAGUUUCGGCUGUUGUGGAUGGACUGUCGGCUUAUCAGCUUGUUGGGGGAGUAGUGGCUUACCAGGUCUUUGACGGAUAGCCGGCAUGAGAGGGUGACCACCCACCUUACGACUACGGGACGGCCCAGUCUCGAACGUGAGGCAGCAGUGGGAAGUAUUGCACAGUGAGGCCACGCCUGUUGCGGCAGCGUCGCGUUCGUAAUGACGUCCUUCGGGUUAUAAACCGCUGUAGCCUGUGACGUAGCGGGAGUGACGGUAACGGGUAAAGAAGCACCGGCUAACUACGUG